AAAAAGUGUCGUUUUAGAAUUUCAGACAUCUUAUUUGACCAUUCGUCUUAUUCAAAAUUUUUACAUAAAUAUUAUAUAUUUUGUUAAGACUUAUUUUAUCAUUAGAGAUACUUUACCCAUGAUUAAUUUAUUGUAUAAUUUACAUAAAAUUUUUGAAUAAGACGAACGGUCAAACACGAUGUCUGAAAGUAAAAAACGUCACUUUUU
rfam:Sorghum bicolor cultivar BTx623 chromosome 9, whole genome shotgun sequence.